rnacentral:rRNA from 1 species
GCCUACGGGGCGCAGCAGUGGGGAAUAUUGCACAAUGGGGGAAACCCUGAUGCAGCGACGCCGCGUGAAGGAAGAAGUAUCUCGGUAUGUAAACUUCUAUCAGCAGGGAAGAAAACAGACGGUACCUGACUAAGAAGCCCCGGCUAACUACGUGCCAGCAGCCGCGGUAAUACGUAGGGGGCAAGCGUUAUCCGGAUUUACUGGGUGUAAAGGGAGCGUAGGUGGCAGGGCAAGUCAGAUGUGAAAACUCGGGGCUCAACCCCGGGAGUGCAUUUGAAACUGUCCAGCUGGAGUGCAGGAGAGGU